rnacentral:rRNA from 1 species
CACUGCCGAGAAAAGCCUCUAGAUAGAAAAUAGGUGCCCGUACCGCAAACCGACACAGGUAGUCAAGAUGAGAAUUCUAAGGUGAGCGAGCGAACUCUCGUUAAGGAACUCGGCAAAAUGACCCCGUAACUUCGGGAGAAGGGGUGCUCUUUAGGGUUAACGCCCAGAAGAGCCGCAGUGAAUAGGCCCAAGCGACUGUUUAUCAAAAACACAGGUCUCUGCUAAACCGUAAGGUGAUGUAUAGGGGCUGACGCCUGCCCGGUGCUGGAAGGUUAAGAGGAGUGGUUAGCUUCUGCGAAGCUACGAAUCGAAGCCCCAGUAAACGGCGGCCGUAACUAUAACGGUCCUAA